GUUACAUUAGGUGUGCUAUAUUCAGGGCAGGCACUACUGCAAACUAGCAAGCCUUGAGGGCAAUGCGUGGGCUCCUGGCGACCAUCAGCAGGGGAGCGCAUAGCAAAGCUCUCCCCCUCCAGCCAGUCACUCUUGUAGCGUAACCGCGCAGACUGCGGUAGAGGAUCUUCUGUGUCCUCUACCUGGCUUGACAGGAAGUGCUCGCUGGGAGCACCGAACAGAUUCCUCUCAGACUGAAUAUAGGGUACGGAAGAUCCUCUACGCAUGAUCUGCACAGCCAGGCUACACAGGAUGA